rfam:Renibacterium salmoninarum ATCC 33209, complete genome.
GCGGGCGUAGCUCAACGGAUAGAGCAUCUGACUACGGAUCAGAAGGUUGGGGGUUCGAAUCCCUUCGCCCGCA